UACGGAGGGUGCAAGCGUUGCUCGGAAUUAUUGGGCGUAAAGGGGAGGUAGGCGGUCUUACUCGUCUGGGGUGAAAGCCCUGAGCUUAACUCAGGACGUGCCUUGGAUACGGUAAGACUAGAGUCCUGGAGAGGGUCGCGGAAUUCUCGGUGUAGCGGUGAAAUGCGUAGAGAUCGAGAGGAACAUCAGAGGCGAAGGCGGCGACCUGGACAGGUACUGACGCUAAACUCCGAAAGCGUGGGGAGCGAACAGG
rnacentral:misc_RNA from 1 species